rfam:Erinaceus europaeus unplaced genomic scaffold scaffold00480, whole genome shotgun sequence
UUUUUGUUUUGAAAUAUGAAAAAUCACAUUCUAAUUUGCUAACAUAGGAAGGUAAAGUAAGUCUCCAAUAACCCAGAAAAGAGAUUGCAAAACUCUUCUUUGGAUUCUGUCUGGAAUAAAUGCU